UCACCAGUAUGCAACUUGAUAUGUUCUUUAAGAACACUCGGUUGGGAAAAGGCUUUGCCACAGUUCUCACAAACAAAAUGGUUUCUCUCCAGUGUGUAUCCUCUCAUGUGUGUUUAAACUUGCUCGCUCAGAGAAAACUUUAUCACAGAUCUGACGAUCAAAAGGUUUAUGUUUGGUGUGGAUCCAGAUUGUGUUUUUUAAGAUUUUGCUGAGAAAAGGUUUUACUGCAGAUCUCACAAACGGUCCUAUGUUUUCUCUGAUUACUAAGUUCGCAAAAGUCUUUAUCAUAGGUAUCACAGGCAAUUGGUGUCUUACCAGUGUGCAUUCUUUGAUGUCUGUUUUAGCUGAGGGGAAAAUCAGAGAUUUCCAAAAACUGGCAAUUCUAAAAAAUUUUUUAACUGAAUAACGGUUAUCUGAUUUCACGAGAAGUUAAUGACCAGCUCACAGUCAUGCCAACAAAAAGUGACAGGUGAAAUGUCGCAUAAACUGCCCCCAGUAACUGGAUAUAGUUUGUAAGAUUCAAUGACCACUGGGCCUCGACAAAAAACACUUCAGAGCUGUAAUGUUGAAAAACAAAAAUAGAUGGGAACUCUCUGAAAAGUCGAACGGGCAGGCUAUUCAUACACUGUAUACCAAGAUGACCACUAAGAAGUGACUGCAGUUACAAUCAGAGACCGUACAGCAAAUUGGAGACGUUCCAGUUGUUUUCUUCCUUGCGCAGAAAAAGCUGUACUAGUAUACAGAUCUCACAACCAAAUGGUUGUUCUAUCCAGUGUGCACCCUCUCCUGAAAGUUCUGCUUAAAUCUUGAUGACAAAUACAUUUACUUUCGUGUCAAGCUUUCAUCUCUGACAGUAGUUACAAGAGUUACAAGCACCUGUCUGCCGAGGAUCAUGGGAGUAUCGUCACAAUUGGCUGGUUGUUGAUCCUCUUGAGGUCUGUCAGUGAUCGGAUCUGAUUCACGAGAAUCCACAACAGAAUGCUCAGUCACAUAACAGGAAUC